GCAUAAGCGAUCUCUCCUGAUAAAGAUCUUGUGAGCAGAGAAGAGCAGAGGAAGUGGGACACGUGUGACGAUUCCUAUGACGAUGCAUCAUCUAUAGGAUUGCCUUAAGGGUGACAGAGGUCCACCUGUACUGCAGCUGUAAUCCAUCCAGCAGUGCACAGAUACCAAGUACCAAAGCAUGGAGUGAGAUGGAGCCUCCUCUGAAGGCAGCAGCCUCUCCAGACACCCUGCCAAGCUGAGCCUGGACUUUGGAGCCCCCCGUUAGAUACUGAAAAUAUACUCUUAUGUUGAGACAAGCAGCUCUUCCUGCCUGUUCACAACAGAGAGAGCAUCUUCAUCCACUCCAGGCUCAGGUUUCUGCUGUGGGAACCAUGGAAGCUCUGCUAAGGCUCAAGGUUGCAGCCCUUCAGUCCCCUUCUCAACAUCUUGACCCAGUGAAGUAAAUGAAGGUGUAACCUUUGCCUAUGAGAGCCUGAAGACUCC
ensembl:lncRNA